GUAGGUGGCAAGCGUUGUCCGGAUUUAUUGGGCGUAAAGCGAACGCAGGCGGGAAGAUAAGUCAGCUGUGAAAGCCCUCGGCUCAACCGAGGAAGAGCAGCUGAAACUAUAUUUCUUGAGUGCAGAAGAGGAGAGUGGAACUCCAUGUGUAGCGGUGGAAUGCGUAGAUAUAUGGAAGAACACCAGAGGCGAAGGCGGCUCUCUGGUCUGUAACUGACGCUGAGGUUCGAAAGCAUGGGUAGCGAACAGGAUUAGAUACCCUGGUAGUCCAUGCCGUAAACGAUGAGUGCUAAGUGUUGGGAGGUUUCCACCUUUCAGUGCUGCAGCUAACGCAUUAAGCACUCCGCCUGGGGAGUACGACCGCAAGGUUA
rnacentral:rRNA from 1 species